rnacentral:lncRNA from 1 species
UGAACUUCCAGACAGCAUUUGCAACUUAAGGUCUCUGGAGACUAUGAACCUCAAUGGCUGCUCAAAACUUUGUAGUUUGCCAGAGCAUUUGGGUAAAUUGGAAGCUUUGAGAAAGCUUGUUUUAAGUGGAUCUGCUAUUACAGAGUUGCCUUCUUCGAUCGGACUUUUGAAGAACCUUGAAGAUCUAUCUUUGGCUGGACUUAGAAAAGAGUUACCUUCUAAGUCUUGGUUCUCAUACUUUUCCUCAUGGAUCUCACCAAAACGUAGUGUGGGUUCUUCUUCUUUACUGCUACCAGCAACGUUCUCUCAGUUAAGCUCAUUAAGAGAGCUUAAUCUUGGUGGCCUCAACUUGUCUGACCAUGAAAUUUCCAUUGACUUUGGGAGUUUCCAUUUUUUGCGGAGAUUGGAUUUACGGGGAAACAACUUCUGUAACGUACCCGCAGGAAUCAGCAACCAUCCAUGGUUAGACAGACUUAUAUUGAAUAACUGCAAAAACCUUCGAUCCAUUACAGAGCUUCCUAAAAAUUUAAAGGAAUUAUACGCAGAGCAAUGCACAUCAAUUGAGAGAUACCCAAACUUAUCAAACAUAGGUAGAGAUCUUAAUAUAAUCGCAUUUAGUAAUUGUCGCGAAGUAGCUGACAUUCAAGGUUGGGAUUUUCGCUCAUUUUAUAAAUCAUCUUUUUGUUCGCCUCUUCGACCAGAUCCUAACGAGCCAGAGGUCUUUCUCUAUCUCUCUCUGUAUACAUAUAAUAUAUAUUAUCAUGCAUGAUAAUGUUGAUAACUACUAGUAUUUCUUUAAAACAGAAGCGGUUGCUUUCCAAGUUCAAGUAUUUGGAAGCUAACUUCCCAGCAAGAGAGGUGCCAGAUUGGUUCGACUAUAAAGAAAUUGGAUCUUCAAUACUGUUUUGUAUGCCUUCAAUCCCAAUUGGUUUAGAUCGAGGUAUGAUUGUAUGCGCAAUCUAUUCGGUCAAUGAAGAAUGUAAUGACGAAAGCACUUCUGCAGCUUCUCUUACCAUAUAUUUUAAGAAUAAAACAAAGGGCUGUGAGACUUUUGAUGUGUCAUGUGGUUCCGUCGAUGGGAAUAUAUGUCAAGAUCAUGCGUGGGUGAGUUACAUGGCACCUAGUUUUAGAGAUGAUGUAAAAUCUUUUAUCGAUGAUGUAAACGCUGAAGAAGGAGAUGAAAUUGAAGUUUCAAUUGAGCCGCAUGGUGGAAUUCUUGUGAAGAAAUGUGGUAUUCAUCUGCGAAUUAAUGGGCAGAUGGGGUUAAGUUUUAAGAGCCUUUAUUGAUUUAUUUUAUUUAUUGUUGAGACCAAUAUUAAUUUUAUUAGUUGUCAAUAUCAUAAUAGAGAAAUAUUUUCAGAAAUAAAUUACAUCUUAAAGAUUUAUUUGCAUGAUAAUUGAGAGGUCAAUGAUUGAAUGAUAAUUUAAUUUUAUAUAUUGAAACAAAUAUGUUAAAAUAUUGAUAUUGAAAUUAUUGUACAAAUAUUUUUAAAAUAUGAAAUCAUGUUAAAAAUAAUUGUAAAAUUUUUAAAAAUUGUAAGUGAAGAUGGAAGUUUUAAUUUUUAUUAGCAUUAUCUUAUUUUUAUUUUAUUUUUAAUUUAAUAUAUUUAAAUUAAACCAAUAAAAUUUCUAACUAUGUUGUUAAUAACCAAUACCUUGUAGCCAACCACCUAGCCAAAAUCGAAUUAUUCCAAUAUUGAUGCAGAACAAAGAAGAUUGUUGAGCAAGAAGAGCAAAAAUCUAGAAGGCAAAAGGUUGGAAAAGUGCACAAAAGUAAAAGGAAGUGUGACUUGUUCCGUACAAAUUAAGCACACUUGGAUUAGUUUCCUUUUUAUUUCAUGGUUUAUGCUUCAGCCUCCAAUUCUACAUUUGUGUUCUCAGUAGCUUCCAAUUCAAAAUCUCCCUUCUGUUUUCUUAUAUAUGGAGGUAAGAAGAAUGAACAAGGUUUGGAUCUUGAUUCUCAAUUUUUUUAGGUGAAUUGUUAGGUUUUUAAACUCAAAUUUAUUAUAGUAAAGUUGUUCAGUAACAUUUUUGUUUUGAUAAAUUAAUUUAAGAUUUUUUUACUGUCUAUAAAUAAGUGAUUAUGUUUAAGGUUAAUAGUAUUGUUUGGUAAGAUACUCAUAAGCUACUAUUAUACAUGAAAUCAUGUUUGUUGACAUUUUUCUUUUGUUAAAAAAUCAACCACUAUUUAUUAAUUUAUCAUUUUUAAAAUGUUUAUCAAAUACAAUAAAACAAAUAAAAUUAAUUUUAAAAGGUAAUAAUUGAUGCAACAAUCUAAUUAUAUGCACCCUAUAAGAAAUUGAAAAUAUAUAAAACCAAAAAAUUUGCUUAAUUUUUUUUCCAUAAUUGAGAAUAAAAAUAUAUAAUUAUAUGUUUUUUUUUAGUUAUUGAUUUUUUUUUGCAUUAAAUUCAGAAUUUAAAUCUUUGCAAAUGAGUAUAAAUUUUUCUUUAUAGCAUGAAUUUAGUCGAUUACAAUAUUCAUUACCACCUAAUAUGCAUGGCACCUUUUAUUUGAAAUAUUCAAACUUGCCACUAUCAAUCAUUGACCAUAUUAUUGCCACUAAGCAAUAAUUUUGGUUUCCAUAAUUUCAUAUAGUAAUUUUUUUAAUUUAAAAUUUUAAGUUUUGAUUAAAAAAUAUGAAAUAGGCGCUAAUAAAGUCAACAAUUAUAUAGUAAAAAAAUAAAGAAUUUUGAAAUAUUGGUUGUAAAAAAAAUAUAAAAAUUAUAAAAAAAUGAUUUUAAGUGAAAUAAUUUGUAAAAAAAAAUUCAAUUUUAACGAUAAUAACGAUAAAUAUUAAUAAUAAUGACAAAUAUUAAUAAUUUAAAUUUUAUUUUAAUAUAAUAUAAGUAAAAUUUGAUAAUUUUUUUUUAUAAGUUUGAUUUUGAUAACUUUUGAUAAAAUUUUGUAACCUCUAACACAAUUUUGGUAACCUUUAAUAUUAGUUUGAUAACUUAUAAUAUAAUUUUGAUAGCUAUUAAAACAUUUUUAUAAUCUCUUGAUGUAGUUUUAGUAAUUAACCUUCUAAUAACUUAUAAUAUAUUUUUACUAAUCAUUAAUAAAAUUUUUGUAAUUAUAUAUUUAACAAUUCAUUACGGUAAAAAAGUGUAAUUUCAAUUCUAAUAUAAGGUAAUUUUCUUUUUAUACAAUAACAAUAUUGUUUCAUUUAAAUUUAAAAUUUUUUUACUAAUUUUUUUAUUAAAUAGGUUAAGGGUAGGUUUAUCCUAAUUUUUCAAGAUGAAAUUUUUUGUUUCGUUUUUGCUAGUUAAGAAGGUUUAAUUUCUAACAACUUCAAGUACAAAAAUUUGUUCAAUGAUUGAUAAAUAAGUUAUUAUUGAUUUACUAUUCUUUCUUGAUGACAUUUUAGUUCAGCUAGAUGGGAAUGCCCUACUUGGCACGUCAAAAUAUUUGUGUCAAUUUGCCUGAGAGGGAUAAAACCCUUAAAACAUAAGAAAAAGAGAUCGGUGACCAACAAAAGUUGAGAGUGAUUCUGGCGUGUGUGCUCUGCUUAAGUCAAAGUUUGGUCUAGUAAUAAGAAGGGAAAUAAAGGCUUAAAAGCUAAGAGUAUAGUAUGUUUAAAAAUGUCUAGAUGAAGCUAUUUAAACCCAUGUGAUGGGGGAUCGACCAAGGUUAGUAUAAGAGACUAAGGUUAAUUUUAUAAAUUUUAUAAACCUGAGCUGAGUUGGUAAUUGACUGUUCACUCAAGGCAUGCGAGUCAACACCCUAAUACACUAACUGGCAGGUUACUCAAAUAGCCGAGUUGAUGUGGACCCGAGAUUUCAGAUUAAAACAACAUGUUAGCUGGUUGAAAUUAUCAAAAUGACCCCAUUUGUUAGUUGACUUAUUCUCAGGAAUGAAAUGUCUAUUUUAUCCUUUGGACACUAAAAUGCCCUUACAGUUCCAUUGUUUUAUUCCUUUUAUUACUCUAUCUUCGUCCGUUUUCCUUUGGAAAGAUUGAGGAGUUCGUUUAUUUCUCUAGCAGUGAUAGCUCAAAGUAUCAGCCAAUUAAUUUUGCUAGAAAUUCAAUUGAUACUAAAACUCCAUUAGACAACUCAUAGAAGAAGAUUUCUAGUUUUGUUGGUUAAAAUUCAAUGAAGAUGUGCUCAAAGAUUGUCAGCUGAUUACGAGGGCCACUGAUAAAUCCAGUAUGUGUUCAUAUAUAGAAAACUCUGGUUUAGGUCCUCAGAUUGAAAGUUCUGAUGCUUUGGAUUUAUGGAAUCGCAGUUGGUUUUCAACAAACCAAUUCUUACUUGAGGUUAUUUUCCAUAACAGAAUGACGAAAUACAAGUGCUUAACCAAUGAAUUGACCCUCGUCUCUGCUAUUUUUGUGCCAUAUUAUGCUGGUCUGGACCUUCGCUAUCUAUGGGGAUUUAAUACCUUUAUGAGAGAUUCAUCUGGCCUUGAUUUGGUUAAAUGGCUUGCUGGAAAACCUGAAUUGAAAAGAAUGCAGGGUGAGGAUCGUUUCCUGAUUUCAGGGCGGAUUGCUCGCGAUUUCAGGAGACAAUCAAACAGGAAGUCUGAUUGGGGCAGCAACUUCAGGUUCCUGCCAGAAUCUGAGAAAAUGUCCAUGUUGACAAUUGAAUCAGGAUCCUGGAAAUAUGAUUUUGCUGUACCAUACCCCACAUACUUCCAUCCUUCAACAGAUACAGAUGAUUUUCAAUGGCAGGAACUCAUGAGAAUCCAAAACCGGCCUUUCUUAUUCUCCUUUGUUGGUGCCCCAAGAUCCAGACAUAAAGGCUUAAUAAGGAGUGAGAUUAUCAGGCAACGUCAAGCUUCGAACAAUUUAUGCAAUUUAGUAGACUGUGGUUCCAUUGGGGAUAAAUGUGAUAAUCCAGUUAAUCUGAUGAAGCUGUUUCAAAGUUCAGUGUUUUACUUGCAACCUCUAAGGGAUUCAUUGACAAGAAGGUCAACUUUUGAUUCCAUUUUGUCUAGUUGUAUUCCACUCUUUUUCCAUUCAGGGAGUGGUAUUCACAAUAUGUAUGGCAUUAACCAAAAAAACAUACCAAGUAUUCAGUGUUCAUAUCACCAAAGAAAUUGAGACUAGGAAAAGCUCGCAUCAACCAGACGUUGCUUCAAGGUUCGAAGGAUGAAGAAUUAGCAAUGAGAGAAGAGGUCAUAAGAUUGAUUCCAAGGAUUAUUUAUGCCGAUUCCCGGUCUAGAUUUGAGACUGUUGAAGAUGCAUUUGAUUUAGUAAAGGGAAUUCCAAAGAGAAUAGAGACAUUAAGAAAGGUAAAUAGAAAUUUAAAAAUCAUUUGUACAUUUCAAAGUUUUAAACUAUAGUAGGUGAAAAUUUUGUGAUAGUAAACCAAAUCGGAUAUAAAUGUUCAAUUUAUUUUUCCCAGGUAAUUCUCACAGAAUUUGUACAUUUAGCGAUUUACUUUGAUCACCAAAGUAUGCAACUGCCACCAUGCGUGCUAGCCUUGAGCCAGCAAUGUGGAGGCACUUUUAGCUUCCAAAGUCAAUUUAUGCCAAGUGGAUGAAAUAGGAUGAAAUCCUAACCAAGUCUGAUUCAAAAUAAAUGCGUUUUGGUGAUCUACAUUAAACAUAAAUAUAGUCAUGUGUAAAUUUAUAUAAUUUUGUUUCAUAUAAAAUAUAUAUAAAAUAAAAAAAAUUAUUUACAAGUCAAAUAUAUAAUAUAUUUUUUAUUUUUUUUAAAUUUAUAUAAUUUUUUUAAAAUUUUAAAUUAUAUUAUUUUUAUAUUAUAUCUACGUAUUUUAUGCCAAAUUAUCUAAUGAAAUUAAACCCAAAUCCAAAUAAUGGGAAAGUGUAUAGCACAAUCUCUCGCCCUCCAAUGUUGACUUGUUUGUAACAUUCCCCGAAGCCAAUGAGGACAGUGUGAAAGACGAUUAGAGUUCAAUUUCCGAAUACAAAAAUCUUCUUAGUCAGGUAUCGAUCAGCGCCCCCUUGGUAAAACGUUUGUACUGGGACUGAUAACGAAUCUUUAUUCUCUGGAGUCGUGGCCUAGAAGAAAAGUAUCCACUUCUUGAGGACGUCAAGGUUGACAAGUUACAAGGGUGAAAAUUUUUAUUAGGCUUUAGUACUGUAUUUUAUCAUAAUUAAUUACAACAAUUGACAAAUUAAAAUACAAUUAAAUAAUAAAAUUUAUAUACAAUGAAAUUUGCACCUAAAAUCCUAAUAUUCUAUAUUUUUAUAUAUAUUAUGAAUGCAUUUCGAUCACUUUAUUAUAUAUAAUGAUUUAAGUUAAAAUAAUAAAAUGCGAAGGACGAAAGCAGGUUGAAUUGAAAAGAUAAUAUUGAAGUCUACUUCACUGUACAUCCACUACUCCUCAAAGUCAUUUUUCCUUAAUUUUCAUUCCGCGUAUGAAUUUCUUUGGUCAGACAAAAUGAUUUAAUGAACCUGAUAGUAACUCUCCCAAAAAAAAAAAAAUUGCAUUAAUUUGAAUAGUAACAAUUAGUAAUGACCCUUAUUUGUAAUUUUCAGAUGGAUGUACUAAGUUUCCACAAACCAUUUUCUCCAUCGCAUUUUUUUGUUUGUUCCAUGGCUGCCAAAGGUUUCUCCGAAGCAUCUGCUUCCGGUUUCAAAUGGACCCAUGACGUCUUUCUAAGUUUCAGAGGGGAAGACACUCGAAAGAACUUCACGGAUCAUCUUUAUACAGCUUUGGUAAGAGGUGGAGUGGUCACCUUCAGAGAUGACGAUGAACUUCCUAGGGGAAAAGAAAUCUCCUCAGAGCUGCUCAAAGCAAUCGAAGAGUCAAAACUUUCUAUAGUGGUAUUCUCUAAAAGCUAUGCUUCUUCUAGGUGGUGUCUUGAUGAGCUUGUCAAGAUUAUUGAGUGCAAAAACACAACAGGCCAGGUUGUUAUUCCAGUCUUCUAUGAUGUUGAUCCAUCUGAUGUCCGAAAACAGAUCGGAAGUUGUGAAGAAGCUUUUGCUAAACACGAAGAACGGUUUAAAGAUAAGAUGGAAAGGAUCAAAAAGUGGAGAAAAGCUCUAACAGAAACCGGGAAUUUAUCCGGCUGGGACCUUCGAAACAUGACAAAUGGGUAAUAUUUAAUUUUUAAGAUGAAUCAUCCAAAAAAUUCUAAAAUAUAUAUGUAUAUGUACAUCUUCGUUUUUAAAUAAAAAAAUUAAAUGAAACUAAUUUUAAUUGCUAGUUAGUGCUAUUAAAAUUAUUAUAUGCGCCUAAUUUUAAAUUAUUGUAGUCAAUUUAUAUCUUGGUAUGAAUUGGUUUUUAUGUUUGAUGAUUUAAACCUUAAAAUUAAGAGUAGAAAUUCUACACAAUCUAUAUAUACCUGAUAAAAGGUCUAAUUUAUUUUUGUCCUAAAGUUGUUUGUUUGAAGUCUAUAAUGACAAUAUAUCAUAUAUAAUUAUUGUAAUAUAAUUAAUCAAUUAUAAUUUAGUUUUAGUAUUAUGAAGUGUCCAUCAAAAAAUUAUUUAAACCUCAUUUAAGUGAUGAACUCUUAGAUAAUUUUUUAUUAUAAUUAAUUAAUUGUAAUAUUGUAAUAAAGAGAGUUAUAAAAAUUAAAUAAUCAAAAGUGAGUGUUUACUGAUAAUCAAAUUUUCUUGUGUUCUUCUUGUGUUGUUUCAUCCCAAAUAAUUUCACAGGUAUGAAUCGAGAUUCAUCCAAAAGAUUGUCAAUGAUGUUAUCAGAAAAUUAAAACGCAAUGACUUGCACGUCGCCACUCACCCAGUAGCUCUAGAAUCACGUGUUAAAUGGGUGAUGAGAUUAUUAGAUAUUGGAUCUGAAGAAGUUUGCGUAGUGGGCAUCUAUGGAAUGAGUGGGAUAGGUAAGACCACCAUCGCAAAAGCUGUCUACAACCUAAUGGUCUGUGAAGGAUUUGAAGGAUGCAGUUUCCUUUCAAAUAUUAAAGAUGACUCGCAGCAACCUAAUGGUCUUGCUAGGAUGCAAGAGAAGCUCCUUUCUGAUAUCUUGAAUGGGCAAAAAUUCAAGAUAGAUAAUAUUGACAGGGGUGUCAAUUUAAUCAAGGAGAGGCUUUGUUGUAGAAGAGUUUUUAUAGUUCUUGAUGACUUGGAUGAGUCAGCACAAUGGAGACCAUUAGUUGGUGAUCGGAAGUGGUUCGGUCGAGGAAGUAGGAUUCUCGUCACAACUAGAGAUGAACGUUUGCUGACUGAAUUUGAGGUGGAUAAAAGUUAUAAGGUUGAACAAUUGAAUCAUGAGGAGUCAAUUCAGCUUUUAAGUUGGUUUGCAUUUAGGAGGCCUGCUCCAGAAAAUGAUUACUUCGAACUUUCCAACGGUUUGGUGGAGCAUGCUCAAGGACUCCCCUUAGCUCUUGAAAUUUGGGGUUCUUAUUUGUUUAAAAGAAGUCAACCAGAAUGGGAAAGUUUUGUGGGAAAAUUACGAAAGGCACCUCACCAACAAAUUCAAAAGAAGCUUAGGAUAAGCUUUGACACACUAGAUGAUGAUUUAUGGAAAGCCACAUUUCUUGAUAUUGCAUGUUUUUAUGUUGGGAUGAAUAAAGAUUAUGUGAUGAAAAUACUAGAUGGUUGUGGAUUCUUUCCAAAAUUUGGUAUUAAAGUUCUUCUAGAAAGGUCUCUUAUAGCAAUUGACCCACAGGAUCAAAAGCUACAAAUGCAUAACCUACUACGAGACAUGGGAAGAAAGAUUGUUCAUGAAGAAUCACCAUCUCACCCCGGAUAUCGAAGUAGGCUUUGGUUUCAUCAGGAUGUUGUAGAUGUAUUAACGAAACACAUGGUAAAAAGUUAAAUGCACUUUGUAAAUAGAUCUAAAAAUGCACUAAAUGCUAAACUUAACUAGAAUUAAUAUUAUUUUUUAUUUGUAUUUAGGGGAUGGAAGCUGUGGAAGGUCUCAGCUUAGAUGUACCAACACUAGAAGAUGACCUUAUAAGCACCGAAGCAUUUGCAAAGAUGAUCAACUUAAGAUUGCUGAAAAUCGAUUCUGUACAUUUCACUGGUUCCUAUGAAAAAUUUUCCAGAAAGUUAAGAUGGCUCUGGUGGCGUCGAUGUCCACUAAUGGUUUUACCGCCCAACCUUCAUCUAGACAACUUGGUUGUUCUUGAAAUGCAACACAGUAGUAUCAAAAAAGUUUGGAAGGAGACUAAAGUAAUUAAUAUCACUCACAAUACUAUGUGUUUUCUUUUUAUUUUGAUAUUUUAGAUAUUUUUUCUUAGCGCAUAUUAUGGAUUUAUUGUUAUUUUCUUUUUCUUGUUUCAACAGGCUCUUCACAAGCUUAAAAUACUUGAUCUGAGUUAUCGGUAUACCUUGGAGAGACACCAAACUUUGCAAGACUCUCAAGCCUACAAAGACUUGAACUUGAAGGUUGCACAGGUUUAGUUGGGGUUGAUCAAUCUAUCGGACAUCUGGACAAACUUGAAUUCUUGAAUUUGGCUGAGUGCAAGAACAUAAGUGAACUUCCAGACAGCAUUUGCAACUUAAGGUCUCUUGAGACAAUGAACCUCAAUGGCUGCUCAAAACUUUGUAGUUUGCCAGAGCAUUUGGGCAAAUUGGAAGCUUUGAGAAAGCUUGUUUUAAGUGGAUCUGCUAUUACAGAGUUGCCUUCCUCGAUCGGACUUUUGAAGAACCUUGAAGAUCUAUCUUUGGCUGGACUUAGAAAAGAGUUACCUUCUAAGUCUUGGUUCUCAUACUUUUCCUCAUGGAUCUCACCACAAAGUAGUGUGGGUUCUUCUUCUUUACUGCUACCAGCAACGUUCUCUCAGUUAAGCUCAUUAAGAGAGCUUAAUCUUUGUGACCUCAACUUCUCUGACCAUGAAAUUUCCAUUGACUUUGGGAGCUUCUAUUUUUUGAGGAGUUUGAAAUUAGGGGGAAACAACUUCUGUAACCUACCCGCAGGAAUCAGCAACCAUCCAAGGUUAGAGAGCCUUGUAUUGAAUAACUGCAAAAACCUUCGAUCCAUUACAGAGCUUCCUAAAAAUUUAUGGAUCUUAGAAGCAAAGCAAUGCACAUCAAUUGAGAGAUACCCAAACUUAUCAAACAUAGGUGAUCGUUUUGAUAGUAUCCGAAUUAGUAAUUGUUGCAAAGUAGUUGACAUUCAACGGCGGGAGUUUUACCCAAUUCAUCGAUGUUGUUUUAAUUGGAUAGAACCAGAUCUUAACAACCCAAAGGUCUUUCUCUAUCUCUCUGUAUAUACAUAUAGUGUAUAUUAUCAUGCAUGAUAAUGUUCAUAACUAGUAGUAUUUCUUUGAAACAGAAGUCGUUUACUUCCAAGUACAAGUGUUUGGAAGCUCACUUCCCAGCAAGAGAGGUGCCAGAUUGGUUCGACUAUAAAGAAAUUGGAUCUUCAAUACUGUUUUGUAUGCCUUCAAACGCAAUUGGUUUAGAUCGAGGUAUGAUUUUGUGCGCAAUCUAUUCGGUCACUGAAGAAUGUAAUGGCGAAAGCACUUCUGAAGUUUCUCUUGCCAUAUAUUUUAAGAAUAAAACAACGGGCUGUGAGGCUUUUGUUAGGUCACAUGGUUCCCUCGAUGGGAAUAUAUGUCAAGAUCAUGCGUGGGUGAGUUACAUGACACCUAGUUUUUUUAUCGAUGAUGAAAACAAUUUUAUCUAUGUUGCAAACGCUGAAGAAGGAGAUGAAAUUGAAGUUUCAAUUGAGCCGCAUGGUGGAAUUUUUGUGAAGAAAUUUGGUUUUCAUCUGCGAAUUCAUGGGUAGAUGGGGUUUUAAGAGUCUUAAUUGAUUUACUUUAUUUAUUGUUGAGACCAAUAUUAAUUUUAUUAGUUGUCAAUAUCAUAAUAGAGAAAUAUUUUCAGAAAUAAAUUACAUCUUAAAGAUUUAUUUGCAUGAUUACUAAGAAGUCAAUGAUUGAAUGAUAGUUUAAUUAUAUAUAUUGAAAAAAAUAUGUUAUAAAUAUUGAUAUUGAAAUUAUUGUACAAAAUAUUUUUGAAAUAUGAAAUCAUGUUAAAAAUAAUUGUAAAAUUUUAAACAAGUAUGAGUGAAUAUGAAAGUUUUAAUUUUUAUUAGCAUUAUCUUAUUCUUAUUUUAUUUUUAAUUUAAUAUAUUUAAAUUAAACUAGCAAAAUAUCUAAUUAUGUGGCUAAUAACCAAUACUUUAUAAGCCAACCUCCUAGCCAAAAUCGAAUUAUUCCAAUAUUGAUGUAGAACAAAGAAGAUCGUUGAGCAAGAAGAGAACAACCUAAAAGACAAAAGAUUGGAAAGUGCACAAAAGUAAAAGGAAGUGUGACCUGUUUCGUUUCGUACAAAUUAAGCACACUUGGGUUAUUUUCCUACUCAUUUUAUCGUUUAUGCUUCGGCUUCUGAUUCUACAUUUGUGUUCUCCCUAGCUUCCAAUUCAACGUCGCCCAUCUGUUUACCUACAUAUGGAAGUACAAAGAAAGAAUGAGAUUUGGAUCUUGAAUCUUAAUUUUUUAAGUGAAUUGUUAGGUUUUUUUAACUCAAAUUUAUUUCACUAAAGUUGUUUGGUAACAUUUUUAUUUUGAUAAAUCCGUUUAAGGUUUUUUUUUUAUUGUCUGUAAAUAUGUGAUUAUGUUUAAGGUUAAAGAGUAUUGCUUUGUGAGAUACUGAUAAGCUAUUAUUAUACAAAAAAUCAUGUUUAUUGACAUAUUUUUCUAUUAAAAAAUCAACCACUAUCUAUUAAUUUAUCAUUUUAAAAAUGAUUACCAAAUACAUUAUAAAUCAAAUAAAAUUAAUUUAAAAAGAUAAUAAUUGAUGCAACAAUAUAAUUGUAUGCACCCCAUAUGAAAUUGAAAAUAUAUAAAACCAAAAAAUAUACUUAAUUUCUCUCCAUGAUUUAGAAUAAAAAUAUAUGUAAUUAUAUGUUUUUAUUUAGUAAUUGAUUUUCUUGCAUUAAAAUCGGAUUUCAAAUCUUUGCAAAUGAGUAUAAAUUUUCUUUAUAGCAUGAUUAUAGACAAUUGCAAUAUUCAUUACCACCUGAUAUGUAUGGCAUCUUUUAUUUGAAAUAUGGCUCUGCCUCUGCAUAGAUUAUAAUUCACCACAGUGUAGGAUAUUAUGUCUCUCACCUCAGACGCAUCUCUUUCAAACCGAAUAAAUGAAUUAUGAUGUCUAUUUCUUGCAUCAUCUAUCUUCUAUAACGAUAAACAAUGUGGUUCCAAUUGUAGCAUUAGCUAUUGAGACAGUAGAAUUUUUAUCGUACAGACAUAUUUUAACUGUUCCACUUCCAUUAUUUUAACUAUUUCAAUCAGAUCUGGUCGUAUCUAUGCGGUUGACACACGAAGAAUCCCAAGGCUCCCCCCUUGCAGAAAGUGCUGCAGCCUGAGGAUAUUGUUAUGAAGACAGGCCUAGCUUAUCCCCAGACAUCCCACUGCCUUGCCUCUGGAGAUAUAAUGGCAUCACGUGGAAAAGCUGAAGGAAAUGGAUUUCUUCUCCUUGAUUCUGAAUUUAAUGUGAAAGGAAGGUAAUGCUAAAAACCCAAAAAAAGAAAAAAAGGAAAAUGAUCGUGAAUAAUAGAAAUGAUUGCUAGCUGCGGUUUUUGGUGCAUGAUAUUGUGAUUGAACUUUGAAACAAUCAGAUUCAACCUCUUAGCUACUAUUGUGUUCUUCAGGUGGGAUAAACCAGGGCAUAAUCCUCUGUUUGGCUAUGACUUUUGGUACCAACCUCGACAUAAAACAAUGAUCAGCUCAUCAUGGGAUGCUCCUGCAGCCUUCACCAAAGGUGUCAACCUUCAGCCUGUCACAGAUGGUAUCUAUGGGAGACAUCUGUAUAUGUAUAGUUGGCCUGAUGGUGAAUUGAAACUACAUUGGAUCUCGGUGACACUGGUCUCAUACCAUUAGAGGUGUAUUACAUGUUAACAUUAUGAACAUGUUACAACUUUAUUUUUAAGACUAGAUUUUGCUCAAAGAUAAUAUGUAGUUCUGUUUCAUAUUCGUUGUUAUAAUGGUAAGGCCAGAUCCUGGAUUCACCGCAUAUAAUUUUGUCAUUUCUACCAGAUAAGUUUCCUGCGUGAUCCCUCUAAAGACACAGGGUAUGUUGGGUGUGCCUUGACGAGUAACAUGGUGCGGUUUUUCAAAACCCCAGAAGGAUCAUGGAGCCAUGAGGUGUGCGCAUAAAUAACUUUUUACUGUUUUUGUAUGGUUAUUGUUAACGAUGUUUGGUAGUCUUUGCAUUCCACAAGCCUAAUAAUAUGAGUAUCCUUAUCAACUUCUACAGGCGGAAAUCUCAGUGAAACCAUUGGAGGUGCAAAACUGGAUUCUUCUUGAAAUGCCUGGACUUAUAACCCACUUUCUAAUCUCUCUUGAUGAUCGUUUUCUGUAUUUUGUCAACUGGCUUCAUGGAGAUGUCCGACAAUAUAAUGUUGAGGACCCUAAAUAUCCAGUAUUGGCAGGCCAAGUAUGGGUUGGAGGACUGAUUCAAAAAGGAAGCCCUGUACUGGCAGUGACAAAAGAUGGUAAAAGGUGGCAAUCCAAUGUUCCUGAGAUCCAGGUCGGUUCUCAUAUUCAUGUUACUUAUAAACUACAAGUUUGAGCAGUAGUUAAGAAAAUGGCAGAAUGACGUAUGGCCUCAUCAGCGCCACACCUGCUAAUUUUAAACACAACAUGAUGACAUUAAUUUUAAACACAACAUGAUGACAUGAAAGAAGACACGAAUUGUUAGGUUUAAUCAGGGCAUAAUGAUAGGUUUUAUAUAUUCUUGACAUUGUUUUGAAGUUAUCAAACAAGAUUGUCUAUCCCUAAAUUGAAUAAACGAAAACAAGAAAUAUGCCUGGAGAUGCAUGGAGGGGGGGGGGGGGUUCAUUCUGGUUCUUUUUGGCCUGAUUUGUAUGACUACUCGACUUACCAUUUGAUGCUCAGGCUGCCUAGACAAACAGCUUGUUUGACACUUGACAGGCUGUGUGUGCUUUUCUAAUUCUUAGGAAUGGUAUCACAUAGGCAAAUUAAUUCAGCACAGAAAACCCUUCUUUUUAACUUAAUUGUUAGUUGGUAAACUUCUUAUCUUCUUUAUAGGGACAUCGUCUGAGAGGGGGACCCCAGAUGAUCCAGUUGAGCUUAGAUGGGAUGCGGCUAUACAACUCACUGUUCAGCAAAUGGAAUCGCCAAUUCUAUCCUGAACUCGUGGACAAGGGUUCCCACAUGUUACAGAUUGAUGUUGACACUGAGAAAGGUGGUCUUAAAAUAAACCCGAACUUUUUUGUUGACUUUGGUGCUGAACCUGAUGGCCCUUCUCUGGCUCAUGAGAUGAGAUAUCCAGGUUGUGACUGCACUUCAGAUACUUGGAUUUAAGCACCCUGAACCAAUUUAGCAGUGAAGAAUCAUCCUUUAUUGUAGUAGGAAAAAAAAAAUCAAUGCAAUUCCAAUUACAAUGCGUUGAGGCAGGAUCAUCUGGAAAGAUAUAACGUAUGUAUUCAUAAACUGUAGAUCAGCACAUCUAUGUAAAAUUAUAAACAGCUGAAAGUAGUCAAUAAAGAGUCCAAAGUGCAUUAAUGUAUGAUGUAAUUCUCUUUUUUAGCUUUUAGGUAUUGGAAGUGUUAGGAAAGUGGGGUCUAGCCCCAUAUAAUUGGGUUUGGACUAAUCAAAGGCCAUAGGUUUUGAUCUUUCUUUUUACACAAAGCCCUAACUACUUAAUAAAAAUAGGUGAGGCUGUUUUAAGGUGAAAAAAAAGAAGGUGGUGCCAAAAAACUAAAAAAAGAAAAGAGAAAAAAGAAGCCAAGAAAAUAGAAAGAAAAGGAAGAAUGGAGAGUUGGUUGAACAAAAAUCUAUCUGUAGUCUGAUUGAGAUUGAAAUUUUGUCAACAUGUUUAUGAUUCAAAGUUUUACAUUCUAAACGAUGAAGACUGGGUUUGAAGCUCUUUAGAAACAAAUUCAAGGUACAUUUGUUGAGUCACCUAUUUGGUGAGAUUUCUCCAAUUGUCUUUUUAAUUGUUGAUUAGCUUUAGUUUUAGUUAGAGAAGAAUUUUGUAUAUGUAUUAUUUGAUAGUGGAGUUUUUUUUUCUAGUGGUCCAUGGUUUUUCCUCCACAUUUGAGGGUUUGUCACAUAAAUUUUAGUGUGCUUUAUUUUUCCUGCACUGUUAAUUAUUGAUUGUUGUCUAUUACUGUGGGUUUAUUGCGUUAUAUUGCUUCUGCGUUGUUAUGUUUAUUGCUUCAGGCCCAACAAAUGGUAUCAAAGCCAAUUCUAAGGGUGUUAGCGAUGUGCCACCGAGGACGGUGGGCCUACAUUGGAGUGGGAGAGAAUAUCACGGUCCUAGAGAGGAGCCAUGAAUCCUACAUCGAUUGAGUACUAGAGUUGAUCUUGAGAUAUAAAGGUUCAUACCACCCUCUUCUUGUGAGGUACCUUUUGUGGGAUAAAAUCGUAACGUCAAAGAAAGGCCGAAGCAGAUAAUACCUCACAAGGGUGUGAACCUUAGGCUGAUCUGAGAUGCUGGAUUAGUGUAUGCCUAAGUCCUAGAGCCUCGCGGGCCUAGAGGUUGAGUCUUGGCCCAUGACAAGUGAUAUUAGAGCAAAGGUUAUUUUGAGACAUCGAUAUAAAAGUAACCCGAGACAAAAGUAAAUUCUAUUUGAGAUCAUGGAGGGUGAUACACGUUUCAUGAUAAAAUUGACAGCAUCAAAUUAUUUAAUUUGAAAGCCUAUAAUGAAAAUUUUUUUAUACUGCAAAAAUUUAUAUGAGUCGGUAUUAAUGAUUCAGCUAAACCAGCAGAUAUGAAAGAUGAAAGUUGAGAAAAGUUAGGUAAAAAAAUGUUGGCUACAAUUAAAAAAUGGAUUGAUAUCAGCAUGUUCCAUAAUGUAGCAUAGAAGACAAAUGCCCAUACUAUUUGGAAAAAAUUGUCAGCAUUAUAUGAGAGAAAAACAUAUAUGAAUAAAGUCAUACUUGUUAAAAAGCUUGUAACUUUAUAGUAUAGGGAUGGACGAUCAAUUAUAAAGCACUUGAGUGAUUUUUAAGAUAUAUUUAAUCAGAUGACUACUAUAAAGCUUAAGAUGGAUGAUGAAAUAAAGGCAUUGUUUCUUUUAGGUUCAUUGUCAGACAGCUAGAAUACUCUUAUUGUGACUAUUCUUAAUUUAGUUCUUAAUUACAAGGUGACAUUAGAGAUAGUAAAGGAUAGUAUGCUUAAUGAAGAAGCAAGGUGAAAAGAUUUAAACCCUAGGAAUCAAGCUCUGGUCACAGAAAAUAGGGAUAAAAACAUCAACAAAGAUCAAAACUCAAAAGGUCAUAGUAAGUCUAAACAUAGAUCUUAGUCCAUAGAUAAAGUGAAGUGUUUUCAUUAUGAUCAAGCAAAUCAUAUAAAAUGAUACUACAAAAUCUUAAAAUAAGAGUAAAAAGAUGAGAAAGGCAAGAGUUCAGAUGAUAGCAAUGUUACAGCAGUGAAUUCAGAUAGUGAUUCAAUUACUUUGAUUUGUACACAUGAUGAUUGUAAUCAUGUUGGUGAUCCCGACAUUGAGUGGAUAGUGGACACAAGAGCGAUAUAUUAUUAUGUUUCUAAGUGGGAGUUGUUUAUAACUUAUAAAGCAGAAGACUUUGGUUACACCAAGAUGGGAAAUAAAAGUGUGUUGUAGAUUGUUGAGAUUAGUGAUAUUAUUAUACAAAUUAGUAUGAGCUGCAUAUUGACUUUGAGGGAUGUUAGAUACAUUUCGAAUAAGCAAAUGAACUUACUUGCUAUUAAUGUCUUUGAUAAGGAAGGAUAUAAGAGUCAACAAAAAAAUAUAUAGUGAAAGUUUUUCAAAGGAUCUAUGGUAGUUGUAAGGGAAAACUAUGCUGCAAAAUGUACAAGACAUGGAUACAAUUGAAUGGCAACUAGAUAAAUGCCGUUAAGGAUUAUGCUUUAGCAAACUUGUGGCAUAAGAGGCUGGAACACAUGAGCUAAAAGGGGAUACAAGUUUUGGUAAGGCAGUCUCUCAUUCUUUUGACCAAAUGUACGUAUCUCGAUUCAUGUGAACAUUGUUUAUUUGGUAAGCAUCGUAGAGUUUCUUUUAGUAAGAAUUCUCAAAGAAAAGAAAAUAGAUUAGAUUAAUUUAUUCUGAUGUAUGUGGUCCUAUUGAGGUUGAGUUAUUAGGUGGUAGUAGGUAUUUUGUUAUUUUUAUUGAUAAUGCUUCACGUAAGAUUUGGUUGUAUAUGUUAAAAAAUAAAAGCCUGGUAUUAUAGUAUUUUCAAAAAUUUUAUACCAUGGUGAAAAGGAUGAUAGGCUACACUUGAAGUGUAUUCAAACCGAUAAUGAUAGGGAAUACACAUCCAAAAACUUUGAAGAGUACAGUUUAAAGCAUGGGAUCAGGCAUGAGAUAAUAGAACAUAGAACAUCGCAACAUAAUGGUGUAGCUGAAAGGAUGAACUUCACUAUUGUGAAAAAAGUCAGAUGCAUGUUAACGAUGAAAAAAUUACUAAAGCCAUUUUAGGGUGAAACAGUCAACACAACUUGUUAUUUGCUUAACAAAUCCAUCAAUUUCUUUGGGUUUUGACAUUUGAGAAAAAGUGUAGAUAAGGAAAAAUACUUCAUACUUUCACUUGAAAGUUUUUGGGUGUAAAGUAUUCAUGUAUGUGCCGAAAAAGUAAAGGUUAAAGUUGGAUAGUAAUGCCACACAAUGUGUGUUUGUAAGACAUGGUGAUGAAAAAUUUGGCUAGAGGGUAUGAGAUAUAGUGAAGAGAAAUACAGUCAGAAGUAAAGAUGUGACCUUCCAUGAAAAAAAAUCAUAGCAGAUCUUAAAAAAAAAAAGAAGACUACAUGAGUUACUAUUAAGUGUGAUGUUUCAAAACCAAUAAAGUUCUACAAAAAAGAGCUACAGAAGGUGAAAAUGAGCAAAAAAAAGAACUUAAGGAUAUGAAUGAGCCAACUACAGUUAAUGAUGAGCCAGAUACAAUCAGUUUUAAGUAGGGUGAGUAGUUUUCUCAACCAAAAAGUGUUAAUCAAAGAGAGCCACCUUCGACAUUAUGUGGUGUAAAGUCUCAGCCUAAGAGAUCUACUAGAUAGCCCAAGCCAUCUACCGAGUAUCCAAGUUCAAAUUUUAUUUUAGUUACUAAUGAAAGAGAGCCAGAGAACUUUCAAAAUGUGAUGUUAUUCCGAAUAGAGAGCACUAGUUAAAAGCAAUGAAAGAAAAGAUGGAGUUAUUACAAAAAAAAUGGUACAUAUGAUCUUGUUAAACUUUCAAAAGAGAGAGGGCCGCUAAAAAUAAAUAGGAGUUUAAGUUGAAAAAAAAUGGUGACAAGCUAGUGAAGUAACAAGCUCCAUUGAUGGUGAAAGGUUUUUCUCAGAAAUUAGGCAUCAAUUUUGAUAAGAUCUUCUCUUCAGUUGUGAAGAUGAGUUCUAUUCAAGUGGCAUUGGGAUUAGUAGCUAGUUUGAAUCUUGAGCUUGAACAACUUGAUGUUAAAACUACUUUCUUACAUGGUGACUUACAGAAAGAUAUUUAUAUGAAUCAGCCUGAGGGUUUUAAAGUGAAAGAGAAAGAGCACUUAGUUUGCAAAUUGAAAAAAAACUUGUAUGGAUUGAAACAAGCUCUGUGACAGUGGUAUAAAAAGUUUGAUUUUUUUAUGAUGAGCCACAGCUAUAGAAAAAGAGCAGUGGAUAAUUGUGUAUAUGUCAAAAAAAAUUUUGAUGGUAACUUCAUUAUUCUCUUAUUAUUUGUUGAUAAUAUGUUGAUUGUGAGACAAGAAGCUAGUAUGGUUCGUAGGUUGAAAAAACAGUUGUCUAAGUCUUUUAACAUGAAGGAUUUAGGUCAAGCAAAGUAGAUACUCGGUAUGGACAUUAUCUAGGAUAAAAAAGUUGGAAAGCUAUGGUUGUUAUAGAAAAAGUAUGUUGAAUGGGUGCUUAGUAGAUUCAACAUGCAACAUGCUAAAUCAGUUAGUAGUCUACUUAUCAACCAUUUUCAUAUAAGUAACAAAUCUUGUCCGAUGACUAAAGAAGCGCAACUAGCUAUAUCUAGUAUUCCUUAUUAUUUUGUAAUCGGUUCUUUGAUGUAUCUUAUAGUUUACAUGCAGCUUGACAUUGCUUACGUAAUUGAUGUAGUAAGUAAAUUUCUUUCUAAUCUGAGAAAGGUUCAUCAAAAAACAGUAAAAUGAAUUUUUAGAUAUCUAAGGGACACUUCAAAAAUGUGCUUGAGUUAUGAAGUUUAACAACCAGUUCUAAAAGGGUUUACUGAUGCUGACAUAGCAGGUAAUCAUAAUGGUAAGAAAUCUACUUCAAGGUAUUUGUUCACUUUUGUAGGAAGAGCUGUAUCUUGGCAGUCUAAGUUACAAAAGUGUGUUGCUUUAUCAUCUAUAAAGACUAAGUAUAUUUUAGCAAUCGAAGCAGGUAAAGAAAUAUUUUAGAGGAAAUAUUUUCUUUUUGAAUUAAGGUUGAAUCGAAAAGAGUAUGUGAUAUUCUGUGAUAGCCAAAAUGCUUGAGAUUUGAGUAUGAAUGUCAUGUACCAUACUAAAAUGAAGUAUAUUGAUGUUAGAUAUCACUAGUUAUGUUCAGUGAUUGACGAACAGUAAAUACUAUUGAAAAAAGUUCAUACUGAUAAAAAUGUAGCAGAUAUGUUGAUUAAGACACUUUUCAAGGAUAAGCUUGAGCUCUACACUAACUUGACCAAAAUGAAUUCCUUGGCUAAGGUAAAUUCUAAAUGAAACUACUAUAGUGAUGAAUCUCCUCCUAAUGGGGCUAAAAGGAGAGAUUGUUAGAAAAGCGGGGUCUAGCCCCAUGUAAUUAGGUUUAGACUAAUUAAAGGCCAUAGGCCUUGGUCUUUCUUUUUACAUAGAGCCUUAGCUACUUAAUAAAAAAAGGUGAGGCUAUUUUAAGGUGAAAAAGAUGAAAAUAGUGUCAAAAAACCCAAAAAAAAAGAGAAAAAAGAAGCUAAGAAGAUAGAAAUAAAAGGAAGAAUGGAGAAUUGGUUGAACGAAAAUCGAUCUGUGAUCCGAUUAAGCUGAAACUUUGCCAGCAGGUUUAUGAUUCAAAGUUCUACAUUCUAAAUGGUGAAAAUCAGAUUUGAAGCUCUCUAGAAACAAAUCCAAGGUAUAUUUGUUGAGUCAACUAUUUGGUGAGAUUUCUCCAAUAAUCUCUCUAGUUGUUGAUUAGCUUUAGUUUUAGCUAGAGAAGAACUUUGUAUAUUCAUUAUUUGAUAGUGAAGAUUUUUUUCUUAUGAUCCAUGAUUUUUUCCUCUACAUUGAAAGGUUUUUCAAUGUAAAUUUUUUGUGUGCUUUAUUUUUUCUGCAUUGUUGAUUGUUGAUUGUUAUCUAUUAGUGUGGGUUUAUUACAAUAUAUUGCUUCUGCAUUAUUGUAUUUAUUGCUUCAGACCCAACAAGUGGUAUUAGAGCUAGCUCUAGGGGUACUAGCUAUGAGCCAACAAGGAUGGUAGACCUUUGUUGGAGUGGGAGAGGAUGUCAUGGUCCUAGAGAGAAGCCAUAAAUCCCACAUCAGUUAGGUACUAAAGUUGAUCUUGGGAUAUAAGGGUUUACAUCACCCUCUUCUUGUGAGGUAUCUUUUAUGGGACAAAACCGUGAGGCCAAGAAAGGGCUAGAGUGGACAAUUUCUCAUAAGGGUGUGGAUCUUAGGCUGAUUUGAGAUAUCGAAUGAGUGCAUACUUGGGUUUUAGAGUAAUGCGGGCCUAAAGGUUGAGUCUCAACUUGUGACAAAAAGAUUGCUUUUAAAAUAAAAUUAUGGUAAUAUCAUUUUAAAAUCUGAUAUAUAACAAUUUGUUAUAUAUAAAAGUGAUAGAAAUUCCAUAGGUAGACUAUGAAAGAACAAGGUACCUACUACAGAAAUCCUAAUUGAUAAGAUGUUAGACUAUUGAAGAAACUGAUUAUGGCUUCUUGAUUUGCCUAAAGAAAACAUAUAAUAAUCGAACAACAUGACCUUAAUUGAAAACACAAUACCUGCCUCUACCACAAACCAUUAAAUGCUAUCUCUAUGAAUGAACCAUCUUCCAAUCAUAACAAUUUCGUUGCUUAUGAAGGAAAAUGAGAUCUCUAUCAAAAGAGGAACAUCAUUCUUUUUUGAUUAAUCACUUCUUUGUUGACCUUCAACUUUCUUCAAACCAACCCAAUUUUGAUACGAAAUGUGGAUGCUAUAUAAGGAAAGAAAUAAUAACCCCCAAAAAACCAUUAAGUUCCCAUUUGCAAAGUCCUGGUUAUUGCUCUCAUAAACUAUAGUAAGAUUAGUUGCCAAGAACAAUAAAUGGUGCCAAUAGAGGUUGGCAAAUGACUUUUCCAUUUUCAGGCAAUUACAAAUGAUGAAGAAGUAGGGCGGUACUGAUAGAAAAGCUACUAGCAAUGUUAAAUGGUAUGAAAGGAAAAGUUCACAAAUGAGGACCACUGAGAGUAGACCAGAGAGCCCAUACGUACAUAUUGGACACCAUUUGAGCCCAAAAGCUUAAGCUAUUAGGUUAUUGGGUUCUUCAUGCAUAUAUAAGACAUUUCAUUUAGAUUUUCUAAUGAUGUGAGAUUCUUUACUCACAUGUGAACCAUAUCCCAACAAUCUCCCUCGUUCACUUGUGAGCUCUAAUCAAGUCCUACCUUGACUCUCUCGUGCGAGUAAAUCCUAUCAACACCUCCAUUAGGCUAAGCAACCUCACAUCUCUAGUGCUCUUUUUUAGGUAGGCCACAACACUCAACCUUACUACCUAGGUUGUCUUAGUGCUCCUUCAAGCUUACACUCUAGGUUAACUCAACAUAUCGCCCCCUUGGCCAGCAACACUAUUGGGACUCAAACCCGUAACUUCUUGAACCCAUCAUAAUUUUAGCUCUGAUACUACUUGUUGGGGAGAUAAACCACACUUGGAGCUUAUGAGAGUACAUCAGAGAGCCCAUACAUACAUGUUGGAUACCACUUGAGUCCAAAAGCUUAAGCUAUUAGGUUCUUUGGUCCUUCAUGCAUAUAUAGGACAUCUCAUUUAAAUUUUCUAAUGAUAUGAGAUUCUUUACUCACAUGUGAAUCAUAUCCCAACACAUAUAGCAAAUCAUGGCUAAAAGCAAGGAAAGCUCUGUUGCAUGGAAAGUUGGCCAUGGUUUUGUUAUCUUUGGUAUAGAAAAUGAACAAUUAAUUUGAUAAAAGAAUUGAGAAAAAUGAAGUUGAUGGGGCUUUGUUUGCUUCAAAUUGAGAUAAGUUCAUAUCUCGGAUGACUUCAUUUACUAGCAUUUUGAGUCAACGGGAGGUAUGAACAAGUUGGAUCAAGAUUAAGACCACUUGACAUGUGACAGCGGCCAUGGUCAUUUUUAAAGGAAGUGAGUCAGUGAAUUAAACUAUAUUGGCUUGGUUUUUUUGGUUUUUUUCCUUUGAUUUCUUUUUUUUUUUCAUUUUCCACCGAUAUUUUCAAAGUAGGGCCCCAUGCUGAAUAAAUUUAACAUAACACUAUUUUUUUUUCCAAUAGUCACACUAUCCCUUAAUUUUAACUUUCCCAAGAUUUCUAUAAGGAUUACUAUGAGAUGAUUCUGAUAAUUAAAAAGUAAUUAAAUUUUAAAUGCAUUUAGUUGAUGCAGGGGAUCUUAAUCUUAAAUGGAUUCAGUUGAUGCAGGGGAUUUUAAAAUCGUAUGAAAAAAAUUAUAUUUAGACAAAUCAUGAGAUAAGUGAACUGUCUUAACAAGAAAAAAAAUGGUAGAUGGGUAGAAAUAUAUAUUUUUUAUUUUAAGAAAAAUUGAAACCCUUCCCUUUGAGUAGGCGAUUUAUGCCUACCAUUGAGACAUGCUCAAGUGAGCAGUUGUUUCUCAUAUAAAAAUAUAAAUCACAAUUUGAAGCUGAUUUAAUAAAAUUUCUACCAUCUAAUCAUUAGCACUUCAGCAUCAUUACCCAUUUGUGUUGAAUUCUUUUCUGCCUUUGCAAAACAGAUAUUUCAUUUAGUAUUUUCAGACAUUUCUAAGUCAAACUGAAAUAUUUUCAUAUAUACAAAAGUGGAAGUCAUCAAAUUGCCUGACUUUGAAUCUUAAUCAACUUCAGAAUAGUUUUGUAAGCUUCCCCCCUUUUUACUAACAAUUGCCUCUUCAAACAACCUAUAUCCCUCUUCACAACAGUUAUUUCUUGCUUGACCACCUCAAUUCUAUCUCUCAGCUGCAAAUCUUUCUUCCUGUCUUCAUCACAGCCUUUUCCAUCAGCUGUUUAACAAAAUGAAAGCAUUGAUAAUCAGCAUGGUGAAUCACAAUGAUCUCCUACUUUCUUUUGGGCUGGCAUAUUGACCUCUUUCAAGAGCUUCUUCUCCAUGGCCAUGUUAUUGGUUCCAUGAUGCAUUCGAAAACAAAAGAUCUGGGUCAAAUUUUAGCCGUCCCGUAAGGACCCCAAAGCAGGAAAGAAGAUAACGGAACCAAUUAACCAAUUAAGUCUAGGAUUCAUCCUUUCAUGGAUAUUAAUCUUCUCUUCUGUAUUGAUACUCUCUCCUUAUACGCAUUGUUUGCAAAAGUGAGUUUGUCUAGGUCUCGUUUAGAGAAGCCACUUUCUUCCCAUUAUCGGUUCACCUACUUCUGAAACACUUCUCUCUAUAUUCUAAAUGGUAUAAUUGGGAAAAUGCCUGGCGUUCAUCAAACCGUUCAUAAUGUCCAAAAAAACUAGGUCAUCUUUAGUUUCUAAUAAAUUUUGCAGAAAUUAAGAUUUAAUAAAAAAAAACUAUGGUGUACUUUAAUUAUAGUUUCACUUAGUUUUUCUUGCCUCAUUCUUCUUGUUCUUGAAUCGUUAUAAGCGACAUCUACAUUAAGAACUGAGAACUGAACUCAAAAUAUGAAUAUCUAUGGUUUCAUUCAUAUAGUAACCCUUAAAAAGUAACAUUUAAAUGCAACAGGUCUAAAUUUUAAAAUUGCAGCGUUGCAAUGUCUUUUUAUUUUUUAUUUUUAUCUCAUUUUGCGACUUUAGAUAAUUUGAAUAUAUAUCUCAAAAUUUACAUCAUAAUAUUGGUAGCCAUGCGCACGUCACGUGAGUUCAACUCAAAGUAACAAGGGUACACGCAAUCAGAUUUUAGUAGAGAUUUUUAAGUCAUAAUGCUUCUCUUGUAAAAAAAAAAAAAGAAAUCAUAGCCAAGUUUGCUUUUAAUUGUUUGAAUUGUUAUAAUGCAAUUGAAUUGAUAUAAUUAAGCCUAAUUGUCUCCUUUAUCUUCUUUGCGAUUCAAAAUAAGUCUUUAUUCAUGUUUGCCAUCAGCUUCAUAACCAUAUCAUUAUAUUUUAUUUUCAAUUAUUAGAUCUACUUAUGCUUCAAGUUAACUAUAAAUCAAUUCAAACCUCACCAAAAAAAUUUUUAUCAAAUUUUUUUGAGUUAGUCGCUUAUCAAAAUUGUUCAAUGCAAUAUGAAACAUACGAGCAAAAUAAUCACAUAACUAAUAAAACGAGAUGAUUUAUCAAUUUCUAAUUUCGAUUAACAACUAUCAUGUUUAUCUCAUUACCUGUGGAGCAGGAAUCAUUGUAGUUUCAUUUUUUAAAACAAAUUUCAUAAACCUAUAUAAAAAUUUGACAAUAUGAGAAUUAAAUUGAAAAAAUACCUAUAUGUAUAAGUGUAAGAAACACAUGAAUAUAACAUUGUCCAUAAAAAAAUUAUAUAAAAAAAAUGUGUUUUUAUAAAGAAACGCCCAAACUUAGGGGCUAAGAUAAGAGAAAUUGCGCCAGACAAAUAAUACAAUGAAAUGAAGUUAUUGCUUUCUUGUUUUCGAAUUAAUUAAUGGAGCUCUUGUUAUGUAACUUCUUGUUUUAGGCAAGAAAAUGUGCCUAAACGUUAUUUUAUAACUUUGGGCUUGAUCAAAAUGUAAGUCUUAACCUUGUCUUGGUCACCUAUAAUUUUUUUUUUUAAUAUUAGAGCCCAGUCCAAGCUUUACUGGAGUUGAUCUAAUGACACAGCUCUACAAGUGGCACAACAAAAGUUGGACCCAUUGAGUUAAAUUGCGUUCUAUUGUUUGAAUUGCUCUUGAUCAAAAUUUAAUUUUUAGCAAUUUUUUAUAUAGGAAAAAAAAUUAUGAAUUCAUUUUUUUUAAAAUUUUGUUUACUUUACUCUAAAAAAAAAUGUUACUUUAGUAAUUUUGAUAACAGAAUAAAAAACUCCAUUGUCUGUGAUAAUUUUUCAAACAUUAUUUAGGUUUUAUUUAGUUUUUUACAUGCUAUAUUAAGCUAUGAGACAAAAUAUAAUCCUUUUAAUUUCAUCUUAAAUUUCAAACCUAAUGCUUUCAAGAUAAAAUCUUAAACUUAAAGAAUUCGGAGGAUCCCUUACUUUUAUUAGUUCAGGAUCAAAUUUUUAUUUUAAAAUAAUGUUAAUUAUUUGAACUUAAAUAUGUGUGUAUACAUAUACAUAUAAAUUUAUGUAUGAAGAUGUAAAUUUCAUCGUUUUUAAAAUUUUCAUUUUAAGACUUUUUGUAGAAAAAUUUAUUUAACCAUUCAAUUUAAUUUAGUAAAAAAAAAAGCUAAAUUGAUAUACUUUAGUAUAUUUUCUUCUAAACAAAUCUAAAUUUCAUUUUUUAUUGAGUUAUUGAUUUUUUUUAUUUCUUUUUUUAAAGCAAAUUCCAAGGAAAAUAAAAGGCAAGGCCUAAUUGAAUGAAAAUUGUCUUUCAAUGAUAUAUUUAAUUUUUAAAACAAUACAAAUUAUUUGAAUUUAAGUGUAUAUAUUUUUUAUUUACGUGUAAAGAUAUAAAUAUACAUAAAACACAACUUUAAUUAGAAAAAGAAAAGCAAUCUUGUAAGGGGCUAAUUACUUGACACUCAUCAAGCCAUUAUUGAAAGAAACUUUCAAAAAGGAAAAUAAAGUUGCUUGUUUCAUUGAAGAUAAUAUUGAAGUCCACAUCACUGCAGACUACUCCUCCAAGUUAUUUCCCAUUAAUUUCCAUUCCGCGUAUGAAUUUCUUGGAUCAGACAAAAUGAUUUAAUGAACCUUUUUCUUGGUUGGUUCCUAGUCAUAGUAACAGCGCCCCCCCCCCCCCCCCCACCCAAAAAAAAAAAUGAAUACUAACUAUUAGUAACGAUCCUUACAGUGUAAUAUUCAGAUGGAUGUGCUAAGUUUCCAAAACCCAUUUUCUCCAUUGCAUUUUUUUCUUUGACUUCCCUUGGCUGCCAAAGGUUUCUCUGAAGUAUCUUCUUCAAUUUUUUUAAUUUCUUUUUUAAAGCAAAUUCUAAGAAAAACAAAAGGCAAGACCUAAUUGAAUGAAAAUUGUCUAACAAUGAUAUCUUUAAUUUUUAAAAUAAUAUAAAUUAUUUGAAUUUAAGUUUAUAUAUUUUCUUAUUUAUGUAUGAAGAUAUAAAUAUAUAUAUCAAGUACAAUAUUAAUUAAAAAAAAAAAGAAAAGUAGUCUUUCAAAGAGCUAAUUAUUUGACACUCAUCAAGCAAUUAAUAAUAUUUUAUAAUUUUUGUAAUUCUUUUAGAAAAAUAUUUUUUACAAAGUAUUUUAUAUUAAUUUUAAAAUUUUUUUGUAAUUUUUACCCAAAAGCUUUUUUUUAUCUAAAAGUUUAUUAAACAAUUUAGUUUACCUUAUUUUUAUUAAUAUAAAACAUUAUUAAAACAUCCAAUCAUAAGAUGACAAAUGUCGUCAAAAUUGGAUGCCUUACAAAAUAUAAUAAAUUUGGAGACUAUUUUUUAUUUAAAAGGUACAAAGGUUCUUGAAUUCUACCAAGUUCAUCCUUCUCUAGAUCGAUUUUAAAUAGAUUUAUUUAUGUUGGGUCUAACAAAUUCAUGAGAAGUUAUCUUUCAUAGCCUUUCAGUGGAUUCAAACCUAGAAUAACAAAAAGAAAACGCAACUUGUUGCCAUUGAAAUUAACCAUAUGUUAAUAGAUUUGGGAACUAUUUGAAAUAAUAAUAAUAGAUUUAUUAAAUUUUAAAAUGAAAACUAAUUGAAGGGUAAUUAUAAAGCAACAUGUGUCAUAAAAUGGAAACUUCAAUUGAGCAAUUAUUUACUGUUUCAAUUAGGGGAUAACUUUGUAUUAUGGCAUAGAUUUUAGAUAUGUAAAAUAAUAAUAUAUAUAAAUAUUUGUCACACUAAUGGAGUUCAAAUUUUAGAGAUUUAAGAUAGUAUCGAGUCUAGUAAUUAGUAGCUUUUACCCUUUAUGAAAAAUCAAAUAUUAAAAUUUAAAAGAUUAUCUCUAUAUAUGGUUGAUAAUGAUGAGCACUUGUUGUAAUAAUAAAAGUAAGGUUUUAAAAUUUACAAAUUUAAGUUCAAAUUGCACCACAUAUUCAUUUAAUUUAAUUUUAUAUUGGUUUGGCUUAUUAAUUUAUUUUUUUCCGUAGAAUGAGCAUAAUUUAUAGAGGAAGAGAGAGGAGAUCUUAGUUUCAAAAUCAAGAUUUCUAUAUUAUUCUAAAAUUCUUUAAUCACUAAAUCAAGAAGUUUGAGUAAAGUAUUAAUGUAAUAUAUUAUUAAAUUCAAACAAAAUAUUACACACACUUUGUAAUAAUAAUGUUAAUGUUUAUGUAAUUAGAUAAUAUAUAUAUAUAUGGGAGGAAUCAACUUACACUAGUGAUUUCUAUAUUACACAAAAUAUUACACACACUUUUUAUUAACAAUUGAUUUCAAUAGAUCCAAGGGAUGAGAGACAUAAAUGAAAAAAAAAAAAAGUUUUACAUUUGUUUUUAAUUAUUGAUUUUAAUAGAUCUAUGGAAUGAGAGACACAAGUGAAAAAGAAAUGCUUAACCUCAUCCCUUAAAUUUAUUGAAAUAGAUAGUAAAAAAAUAUAUAAAACUUUUUUGGUGUAACUUAAUUCUUCUCCAUCCAUAUAUAUAUAUAUAUAUAUAUAUAUAUAAUUGAUGGUCUAUGCUUUAUAAAUUCUAAACCAACAAUAACAUAGAUAUGUAGUGCUAUCAUGUUUUUAACAUCUUAAACUAAAACUUUUAAAUUAAUUGAAUAUUUUUCCUCAGAAAAAAAAAAGAAUAUUUUCAACCAUAUGCAUUUUAAGAUAAGAAAUACAUACAUAUAUAUAUAUAUCCUUUUAACAAAAAUUCAAAAAUAUAAAAAAAAAAUAAAUUUGUAUUUAGUAGACCAUGUAAUAUACCAUAAUUAACAUUGAUACUUUUAUAGAUCACAAUGCAAAUAUAUAAUAUAAUUAUAUAUUAUUAGUAAAAAAACUUAUAUAUUAUUAGUAAAAAUAUAGGUAUUUUUAGUAAAAAAAUUUUAAAAUUUUUUUACUAUUAAAUAAGUAUUCAUCAAAUUAAAAUUAUAAAUGAUAUAUAUAUAUAUAUAUUACAUAUUAUUGAUUUUUCAAUGAACUCUAUCAAUCAAUUGAUUUUUACUAGCAAACCGUGGCUAAAAGCAAGGAAAGCUCUGUUGCAGGGAGAGUUGGCCAUGGUUUUGUCGUCUUUGGUAUAGAAAAUGAACAAUUAAUCUGAUGGAAAGAAUUGAGAAAAAUGAAGAUGAUGGGUCCUUGUUUGCUUCAAAUAGAGAUUAGUUCAUAUCUCGGAUGACUUCAUUUACUAGCAUUUUCAGUCAACGGGAAGGUAUGAACAAGUUGGAUCAAGAUUAAGACCACUUGACAUGUGACAGCUGCCAUGGUCAUUUUUGAAGGAAGUGAUUCAGUGAAUUAAACUAUAUUGGCUUGGUUUUUCUCCUUUGAUUUGAUUUAUUUUUUCCCAUUUUCCACCGAUAUUUUCAAAGUAGGGCCUCAUGCUGAAUAAAUUUAAGAUAACACUAUUUUUUUCCCAAUAGUCACACUAUCCCUCAAUUUUAACUUUCCCAAAAUUUCUACAAGGAUUACUAUGAGAUGAUUCUGAUAAUUAAAAAGUAAUUAAAUCUUAAAUGCAUUUAGUUGAUGCAGGGGAUUUUAAAAUCGUAUGAAAAAAAAUUAUAUUUAGACAAAACAUGAGAGAUAAGUGGACCGUCUUAACAAAAUAAAAAAUGGUGGAUGGGUUGAAAUAUAAUUAUUUAUUUUAAGAAAAAUUGGAACCCCUCCCUUUGAGUGGGCGAUUUACGCCUACCAUUGAGUCAUGCUCAAGUGUGCAGUUGUUUCUCAUAUAAAAAUAUAAAUCACAAAUUUGAAGAUCAUUUAAUCCAAGUUCUACCAUCUAGUUUUCUCCUUAUUUUUCGUACUUUUGUCAUUAGCACUUCAGCAUCAUUACCCAGUUGUGUUGAAUUCUCUUCUGGCUUUACAAAACAGUUAUUUCAUUCAGUAUUUUCAGACAUUUAAUUUCUAAGUCAAACUGAAAUAUUUUCAUAUAUACAAAAGUGGAAAUCAUCCAAUUGCCUGACUUUGAAUCUUAAUCAACUUUAGAAUAAUUUUGUAAGCUUCCCCCUUUUUUUCCUGCGCACAUCUAACAGCUGCCUCUUCAAACAACCUAUAUCCUUCUUCACGACAUUUAUUUCUUGCUUGACCACCUCAAUUCUAUCUCUCAUCAAUAUAUACUACAUAAAAAUCUUUAUAUUUUUCAAAAAUUGUAUCCAUCCAUCUUUAAAAGAUUUGUGGAGCAUUACAAAAGCAUUACAAAGUUCAAAAGGCAUAACUCUCCAUUGAUAAUGGCUUUUAAGAGCACUGAAAGCUGUUGAAAUUUUUUGACUUUUCAGUUAACAUUAUUUGCCAAAAUUCAAAAUUUUACUAAAAUAUUUAACAUUUUUUGCUAAAUUUAUUAGUACAUCUUUUCUUGGAAUAAAAUAACCAUCAAAUAUUAAAUGUUGAUUAAGCCUUUUAUACUUUAUUACAUUAUGGCUUUUCCUCUUUUUUGCUUAGCAUGAUUUCUUUCAUCGGUAGUAUCAUAAUUAAACAUAUAAUAAUAAUUAAAUUUUUUAAAAGGUUCUAUAUGUGUUUCAUAUAUUUCUUUUAUCAUAUUUAAAUAAUCAAUCAUUUCUUUAGGAACAAUUGCUUUUUUUAUUUUAUACUUAAGAUGUUUUAUAAAACUUUUAUAGGAUUUAAAAUUCAAUUGUUCUGCUUUAAAAUUUUUCGUUGGUUAGGAAGAUGAUGGUUUAUCAUCUUUAAGUGUAAAAAUAGCAUUACCAUAAUAUAAUGGUCUAAAGUUAUUUGUUUGACUUUUAUCAACUUCUAAUAAUUUAAAUUUUUUAUUAAUAUUUACUAAUAACUGUUUAGAUUCUCGGUUUAAAUCUAAACUAGUAACUUGUCUUAAACUAUCUAUUUUUUAUUCUAGUAUAUCAACUUUAGUGAACAUAUUUUUAAAGAAAAUAGUAGAUAAAUCAAUUAAACUAUUUAUACUAUGACUGAUUGUUAGAAUAUGAUUUUUUAAUUGAAAAUCCACAUGUAGACUAUGAUUAUGAAGGUUUUUUUAACAAACAUAGUUUUCAAUUUCUUGCUACAUGCUAUUGGUAUCUAAAACCGUUUGUAUGCCAUACCAAGAUCUCUAAAGCUAGAUUAAAAGGCAACAACAAAGCCACAACACUAGCACGGAGAUAAUAAACAAAUAUGAGUUUUAAAACAUAAAGCUAAAAAUUAAAAAUUGAGAAAGUAAAGAAAUACUUAUAAAGAUAGUUUGAAAUUGGAAACCUCAUAUAGAAUAUAGGUAUAUCAACCUUGAUAUAUAUAAAUACAAACUAGAAAUAGUUAAGGUUCUUUGAUCGUAGAUAAGAUUCUGAUACCAAUUACAAGAGAAAGGGGAUGUGAGAAAGAGAUAUGACAAGAGAGUACAGAAAAGAGGGAGAGAGAUGGGCUAGGUAUCCGAUCCCUCUCUAAUACAAUCUUCAAUAUUUAAGCUUAACAAAUUUUGUUCUUAUCUAAUUAUGAAGUUAGGCUUAAAGUUGGUAGAUAUUUAUUACAAAAGAGAUAUUUAUAUAUCCUUAUCUGCUUUUGGUAGAUUUUUUGGUCAGGUGAUAGGCUGACUGUUUGGCAGUCUAGAUGGUUUAUCAACAGCAAAUGUUAACUUUCUGUUAUCUUGUCCAUCUUGAAUACUCACAAAAUUUAUAAGUAAGAUAGAAAAAUCAAUUGUAUGUCACCUUUUUAAGGACUGCAUAAAACAAUGGAAUUCAGUUUUUUGUUCAAUUUAUCAAUUAAUUUAAUAUUGUACCUGAUUGUUUAUCUCUUCGACUGAUGAUAGACCUGAAUCACAAUGAUCACCUAAUUUCUUAUGGCUGGCAUUAACCUCUUUCAAGAGCUUCUUCUCCAUGGCCAUGUUAAUGGUUCCAUGAUGCAUUCAAAAACACAAGAUCUGGGUCAAAAUUUAGCCGUCCUGUUAGGCCUCCCAAAGCAGGAAAAAAAAUAACAGAAUCAAUUAAACAAUUAAGUCUAGGAUUCAUCCUUACAUGGUUAUUAAUCUUCUCUUAGAGAGAUAUGAAUAUCUAAUAGUUGAUUCAUAUAAUCACCCUUAAGAAAUAAUAUCUAGCGACAACAAAUCUAGAAUUCAAAUUUGUAGCGUUGCAAUCUCUUUUUUUAUCUCAUGUUGCCACCUUAGAAAAUGUGAAUAUAUAUCUCACAGUUGACAUCAUAAUAUUGGCAGCCAUGCGCACAAGUCACUUGAGUUCAACUCAAGUAACAAGGGUAGGUACAAUCAGAUUUGAGUAGAGAUCUUUAAGCGAUAACGCUCUUGUACCAAAAAAAAAAAAAUCCUAGCCACAUUUGUUUUUAAUUGUUGAAUUGUUAUAAUACAACUGAAUUGAUAUAAUUAAGCCUAACUGUCUCUCCUCUAUCUUUUUUGUGAUUCGAAAUAAAUGUUCAUUCAUGUUUGCCAGCAGCUUCAUAGCCUUUUGAAUUCCAGAUUCUGGAUUGGGGUUUUCCUGAAGCGUCACAAGAAUUAAGUCAUGAAUUCGAUUGCUCUUUCUAGUUCUAACAGGUUGCAACCCUUCAUUUUUAGGUUUUGCAUUAUUUUGUGCCACCAUUCCUUCACAUGCUGGAGUAGCCCUGAUCCUGUGCCUAAAUCAAACGAAAGUGAAAAAUGAAAAUUUUGGAUAAGAGCUUGGCAUAAAAAAAAUGCGGGGUCUCAAAGCAAUUCAGGGUUGAUAGUGAUCUCUUGUUCUUCACUGAGGAAGCAUUAAGUUGUCUAAUUAUUAUAUAAGAAAAUGAUGUGAUCAGGAAGACGAUUAUUUGCUUCUUACUUGUCGAGGUCCUUGUAUCACGGACCUAAGGAAGAGUCUUGAAUCCCACAUCGAAUAUAAUAGGAAGGUCACUGGGGUAUAAAAGGGUUCACACCACCUCCGCCUUGUGAGGCGCCUUUUGUAGGACAAAACCAUGAGGCUAGAGGGGGCUAGAGCGGACAAUACCUCACAAGGGUGUGAACCGUGGCAGGAAGGCUGAUUUGGGACGCCGGAAGGGUGAAUACCCGGGUCCCGGAGCCUCGCGGGUUCGGAGCUUAAGUCUCGACCCAUGACACUUGCACCUAGAUCUAGCAAUUUGUAUAAUUAUGUGGUGUAAAAUACUAAAAUUUUGUAUUUGUAUAAUAAUUUAUAUAAAAAUUAUCUGUUAUAAUUUGUGUCGACAUGAAAAUAUAAUAUAUAUUUUUUGUUUUCUUAAAUUCAUAUAUAAUAAUUGUUAAAAUUUUAAAUCGUGUCAUCUUUAUAUUUAAUUUUCAUAUCGUAUCAUCAUAUUAUGAUUUAGAUUGUCAAAUCAACUUACAUCUCACACCAAGUAUAAAUUAACCCAAACCCUGCCAACAAUUUUUUUUUUUUUUAUCAAUUCCCUUUGAGUUAGUCAUUUGUCAAAGAUGCUCAAUGCACCAUGAACCAUACAAGAAUAAAAUAACCACAUAACUAAAUAAAACAAGAUGAUUUCUCAAUUUCUAAUUCUGAUUGACAAGUAUCUUGCUCAUCUCGCAACUUAUGGAGUAGGAAUCAUUGCAAUUUCAUUUUUUUACACAAAUUUCAUAAAACCUAUAUAAAAAUUUGACAAUAUAAGAAUUAAAUUGAAAAAAUACCUAAAAGUAUAAUUUAUGUGUAUGAAAUAUCUGAAUAUAACAUUGUCCAUAUAAAAAUGUGUUUUAUAACUCGACAACAUCUAUUUUAACAAUUGGUUUUAGAUUAAUUUUUGGUACAAAGAAAAGCCCAAACCUAGGGGCUAAGAUAAGAGAAAUUGUACCAGACAAAUAAAACAUUGAAAUGAAGUUAUUGCUUUCUUGUUUUUGAAUUAAUUAAUAGAGCUCUUAUUAUGUAACUUCUUGUUUUAGGCAAGGAAAUGUGCCUAAAAUUGUGUUACAUUGUUUGAAUUGCUCUUGAUCAAAAUUUAAUUUUUAUCAAUUCUAGAUAUAGGAAAAAAAUUAUCAAUUCUUUUUUUUUUUAAUUUUGUUUACUUUACUUUAAAAAAUAUGUCGCUUUACUAAUUUUGAUAAUAGAAUUCAAAAAUUUUAUUGUCUGAUAAUUUUUCUAACAUUAUUUAGGUGUUAUUUAGUUUUUUACAUGUUAUAUUAAGCUAUAAGACAAAAUAUAAUCCUUUUAAUUUCAUCUUAAAUUUCAAACCUACUACUUUCAAGAUGAAAUCUUAAACUUAAAGAAUUCGGAGGAUCCCUUACCUUUAUUAGUUUGGUAUCAAUUUUUUUAAAAAAAAUAAUAUUAAUUAUUUGAACUUAACUGCAUGUAUAUAUUUUUAUUUAUGCAUGAAGAUAUAAAAAAAUCAUAAGUUUCAACAUUUUUAAAAUUUUCAUUUUAAGAUUUUUGGUAGAUAAAGAUAUUUAACUAUUCAAUUUAAUUUAGUAAAAAAUAGGUAAAUUGAUAUAUUUUAGUAGAUUUUCUUCUAAACAAAUCUAAAUUAUUUAAAUUUAAGUGUAUAAAUAUUUCCUUUUUUAUAUAUGAAGAUAUAAAUAUAUAUAAAGUACAACAUUAAUUAAAAAAAAAAGAAAAAGAGUCUUCUAAUGGGCUAAUUACUUGACACUCAUCAAGCAAUUAUUAAUUUUUUUAUAAUUUUUUGUAAUUUUUUCAUAAAAACAUUUUUUGAAAAACAUUUUUAUUAAUUUUUAAAAUUUCUAUUGCAAUUUUUUACCCAAAAACUUUUUUAUCUAGUGCUUAUUUAAAUAUUUUAGUUUUAUCUUUGUUUUUUAUUAAUAUAAAAAAAUUAUUAAACAUCCAAUCAUAAGAUGACAAAUGUCAUCAAAUUGGAUGCCCUUAUAAAUAGCAACAGAUUUGACGACCACUUUUUUUUUAUUAUUUAGUGGUACGAGGUUGCUACAUUCUACCAAGUACAUCACUUACUAGACUGCUUUAAAUAAGUUUGUUUAUGUUAGGCCUAGCAAAUUCAUGAGAAGUUAUCUUCUCGUAGUCUUUCAACAUAUUCGAACGUAGGUAACAAACGGGAAACAUACUUUUUUACCACUUGAAUUAAUCAUAUUUUGAUAGAUUUGGAAACUAUAAAUAAUAAUAAUAAAUUUAUUAAAAUUUAAAAUAAAAUUUAAUUGAAGGUAAUUAUAAAGCAACAUGCAUCAUGCAAUAAAAGCUUCAAUUGAACAAUUAUUUGUGGUUAUAAUUAGAGAAUAACUUUUAUAUUAUGUAAAUUAACAAUAUAUGUAAAUAUUGCUCAUCACUAAUGGAGUUUAAAUUUUAGAGAUUUAAGAUAGUGUUGGGUCUAGUAAUUAGUAGAUUUUACCUUUUGUGAAAAAUCAAAAAUUAAAAUUUAAAAGAUUAUCCUCUAUAUAUGGUUGAUAAUUAUGAGAUUUUGUUUUAAUAAUUAAAGUAAGGGUUUAAACUUUAUAAAUUUUAGGUUCAAAUGGCACCACAUAUUCAUUUAAUUUAAUUCUAUAUUGGUUUUACCUAUUAAUUUAUUUUUGUACAUAGAAUGGGCAUAGUUUAUGAGGGAAGAGAGAGAAGAUCUUGGUUUGGAAAUCAAGAUUUCUACAUCUUGUAAAAACUCUUUAAUCACUAAAUCAAGAAGCUGAGGAUAAAAUAUUUUGUAAUAUAUUAUUUAAAUUCAAACAAAAUAUUACACACACUUUGUAAUAAUAAUGUUAAUGUUUAUGUAAUUAGAUUAUAUAUAUAUAUAUAUAUAGAGGGAAGGAAUCAAUUUACAAUGGUAUAAAACAUUUUAGUUUAACAUUUUUUUUCUAAUUAUUAUUUUAAUAGAUCUAAAGGAUGAAAGACUCAAGUACCAAAAAAAAGUUUAAUCUUAUCUCUUGAAUAUAUUAAAAUUAAUAAUUAAAAAAAUAUAAAACUUUUUUGGUGUAACUUAAUUCUUCUCUCUCUCUCUCUCUAUCUCUCUCUCUCUCUCUAUAUAUAUAUAUAUAUAAUUGGUAGUCUAUGCUUUAUAAAUUAUAAACCAAUAACAACCUAGAUAUGUGGUGACAUCAUGUUUUUAACAUCUUAAACUAAAACUUUUAAAUUAAUUCCUAAGAAAAAAAAGGAAUAUUUUUCAACCAUAUGCAUUUUAUGAUAAGAAAUAUAUAUAUAUCCUUUUAACAAAAAUUCAAAAAUAUAAAAAACUUAAAUUUGUAUUUACUAGACCAUGUAUACUAUAAUUAACUUUGAUACAUAUUUAGAUCUCAAUACAAAUAUAUAAUAUACUUAUAUAUUAUUAGUCAAAAGAUAAGUAUUUUUAAUAAAUAAAAAAUUUAAUAAAAUUUUUAUUAUUAAAUAAGUAUUCAUCAAUUUAAAUUAUAAACGAUAUUUUUAACAAAUUUUUUUUUACAUAUUUUGAUCUUCUUAAUAAACUUCAUCGAACAAUCAAUUUUUAUUUUUUAUUUUAAUUUUUUAUUACAUUAUUUUUAAUAAAAAAUUUCACAAACAUCAUUUAAAUAACUUCCAAAAAAUUUCCCUACCUUAAUAUUACCUGGCCACCAACUCUUCUCUUUUGUUCUUUCUUCUAAUAAAGUAACAAUAUAAAAAAGGUUUAAGGUCCACAUAAUUUAACUUUACCAUCGUUCGAGUUGCCUUUGGCUUUUUUUCUAUAUAGUCAAAAGAAACUUUCAUAAAGGAAAAUAGAGUGGCCUUUUUCAUUAAAGAUAAUAUUGAAGUCCACGUCACUCAAAUUUCAUAAGAAAUUUAUUUAAGAUUUAUUAGAUAUUGCUUGAUGGAUAAAUUUGACUUGUAAAAAAAUAAUUCUAAGAGGAAAAGAAUUUUUAAGAGAUAAGUUUAUAUGACUAUAAAUAAUUGAAGUUUUUAUAGGAUUAAGUAUGAGACAAAGAUGUAAGAGAAUUGUAAUUUUUAUGAAUAGAUACCUCAUAAGAUUACUAAAAAUUUACGUCUUAUGAGUGUAUAUGUUUGAAUGUUUGUGAGUGGAUUAGAGGAGACUAAGAAAGUUCGCAUAGCUAUGAUAUAUGGGUGCUUAUGGGUAUGUGCUUGGUUGUGUUAAAAAGGUGUACAUGGAUAUGUGUUUGUUUGAGUUGAGAAUACUCCGUAGGAUUAGAGAAGAUUGAGAGGAUCUAUGGGUAUUAAUUGUUGCUUGGUUGAUAUGUUUAAUGUAUGUUUGUAAUUCUCUAUAACUAGUGGAUCUUAUUUUUCAUCUGUAGACGUAGGUCAGUUGGACUAAACUACGUUAAAUUAUUAUUUCUUAUCUAUUUGAUUAAUUAUUUGAUUAUGUUUCCGUUGGCUUGAUUGGAUUAAGGCCUUUUUGCCUAACAAUAUGCACCUGCUACUCCUCCAAGUCAUUUCUGAUUAAUUUCCAUUCCGCCAAUGAAUUUCUUGGUGGGUUCCUAGUCAUUAAUUUGAAUAGUAACGACGAUUAGUAAUGACCCUUAUAUUUUAAUUUUCAGAUGGAUGUACAGAGUUUCCAAAAACCAUUUUAUCCAUUGCAAUUUCUUGUUUUACUUUCCAUGGCUGCCAAAGGUUUCUCUGAAGCAUCUUCUUCUAGCUUCAAAUGGAACCAUGAUGUCUUUCUAAGUUUCAGAGGCGAAGACACUAGGAAGAACUUCUCGGAUCAUCUCUACGCAGCUCUGGUGAGACAUGGAGUAGUUACCUUCAGAGAUGACGAUGAACUUCCCAGGGGAAAAGACAUCUUCUCGGAGCUCCUCAAAGCAAUUGAAGAAUCAAAACUUUCUAUAGUGGUUUUCUCUAAAAACUAUGCUUCUUCCAGGUGGUGUCUUGAUGAGCUUGUCAAGAUUAUUGAGUGCAAAAACACAACAGGUCAGGUUGUUAUUCCAGUCUUCUACGAUGUUGAUCCAUCUGAUGUCCGGAAACAGAUGGGAAGUUAUGAAGAAGCUUUUGCUAAACACGAAGAACGGUUUAAAGAUAAGAUGGAAAGGAUCAAAAAGUGGAGAGAAGCUCUUACAGAAGCCGGAAAUUUAUCCGGCUGGGACCUUCGAAACAUGGCAAACGGGUAAUAUUUAAUUUCUAAGAUGAAUCAUCCAAAAAAUUCUAAGAUAUAUAUAUAUAUAUAUAUGUGUGUGUGUAUAUAUAUGUAUAUUUACAUCUUCGUUUUUAAACAAAAAAAUUAAAUGAAACUAAUUUUAAUUGCUAGUUAGUUCUAUUAAAAUUAUAAUAUGUACUUAAUUUUAAGUUCUUGUAGUCAAUUUACAUCUUACUAUAAAUUUUUUCUUUUAUGUUUGACGAUUUAAACCUUAAAAUUAAAAGCGGAAAUUCUACUCAAACUAUAAAUACCUGGAAAAAUGUGUAAUUUAUUUCUGUUGUAAAAUUGUUUGUUUGAAGUGUAUAGUGAGAAUAUAUCAUAUAUAAUUAUUGAAGUAUAAUUAAUCAAUUAUAAUUUAGUAUUGUGAAGUGUGCAUCAAAAAACUAUUUAAAUCUCAUUAUAUUUUAAGUGAUGAACUCUUAAAUAAUAUUUUAUUAUAAUUGAUUAAUUGUAGUAAUGUAAUCAAGAUAAUUAUAAAAAUUAUAUAACCAAAAGUGGGUGUUUACUGUUAGUCAAAUUUACUUAUGUUUUUCUUGUGUUCUUUCAUACGUUUUUCUUGGGUUCCUUCAUUGCAAAUGAUUUCACAGGUAUGAAUCGAAAUUCAUCCAAGAGAUUGUCGAUGAUGUUAUCAGAAAAUUUAACCGCAAUAUUCACAACGGCUUGCACGUCGCCACUCACCCAGUAGCUCUAGAAUUACGUAUCAAAAGGGUGAUGAAAUUACUAGAUAUUAGAUCUGAAGAAGUUCGCGUAGUGGGCAUCUAUGGAAUGAGCGGGAUAGGUAAGACCACCAUCGCAAAAGCUGUCUACAACCUAAUGGUCUGUGAAGGAUUUGAAGGAUGCAGUUUCCUUUCAAAUAUUGAAGAUGACUCACAGCUACCUAAUGGUCUAGCUAGGAUGCAAGAGAAGCUCCUUUCUGAUAUCUUGAAUGGGAAAAAAUUCAAGAUAGAUUAUAUUGACAGGGGUGUCAAUUUAAUCAAGGAGAGGCUUUGUUGUAGAAGAGUUUUUAUAGUUCUUGAUGACUUGGUUGAGUCAGCACAAUGGAGACCAUUAGUUGGUGAUAGGAAGUGGUUCGGUCGAGGGGGUAGGAUUCUCGUCACAACCAGAGAUGAACAUUUGCUGACUGAAUUAGAGGUGGAUGAAAGAUAUAAGGUUCAACAAUUGAAUCAUAAGGAUUCAAUUCAGCUUUUAAGUUGGUAUGCAUUUAGGAGGCCUGCUCCAGAUAAAGAUUUCUUCGAACUUUCCAACAGUUUGGUGGAGCAUGCUGAAGGACUGCCGUUAGCUCUUGAAAUUUUUGGUUCUUCUUUGUUUAAAAGAAGCCUACCAGAAUGGGAAAGUUUUCUGGAAAAAUUACAGAAGGUACCUCACAAAAAAAUUCAAAAGAAGCUUAGGAUAAGCUUUGACACACUAGAUGAUGAUUUAUUGAAAGCCAUAUUUCUUGAUAUUGCAUGUUUCUAUAUUGGGAUGGAUAAAGAUUAUGUGAUGACAAUACUAGAUGGUUGUGGAUUCUUUCCAGAAAUUGGCAUGAAAGUUCUUCUUGAAAGGUCUCUUAUAGCAAUUAACCCAUUUAAUAAGCUAGAAAUGCAUAACCUACUCCGAGACAUGGGAAGAGAGAUUGUUCAUGAAGUAUCACCAUCUCACCCAGGAUAUCGCAGCAGGCUUUGGUUUCACCAGGAUGUAGUAAAUGUAUUAACGAAACACAUGGUAAAAUGUUAAAUGCAUUUCGUAAAUAAAUCUAAAAAUGUGCUAUACUUAACUAGAAUUAAUAAUAUUCUUUAUUUGUAUUUAGGGGACGGAAGCUGUGGAAGGUCUCAGCUUAGGUGUGCCAGCACUAGAAGAUGAUCUUAUAAGCACCAAAGCAUUUGCGAGGAUGAUCAACUUAAGAUUGCUGAAAAUCGAUUCUGUACAUUUCACCGGUUCCUGUGAAAAAAUUUCAAAAGAAUUAAGAUGGCUCUGUUGGUGUCGAUGUCCACUAAUGGUUCUACCGCCCAAUCUUUAUCUAGACAACUUGGUUGUUCUUGACAUGCAAUACAGUAGUAUCAAAAAAGUUUGGAAGGAGACAAAAGUAAUUAAAAUCACUCUCACAAUGCUAUGUUUUUUCUUUUUUUUUUUUUAUAUUCUAGAUCUUUUUUUCCUUAGCGCAUAUUAUGGAUUUACUGUUAUUUUCUUUUUCUUAUUUCAACAGGCUCUUCACAAGCUUAAAAUACUAGAUCUGAGCUAUUCGGUAUACCUUGGAAAGACACCAAACUUUGCAAAACUCUCAAGCCUACGAAGACUUGAACUUGAAGGUUGCACAGGUUUAGUUGAGGUUGAUCAAUCUAUUGGACAUCUGGAAAAACUUGAAUUCUUGAAUUUGGCAGAGUGCAAGAACAUAAGUGAACUUCCAGACAGCAUUUGCAACUUAAGGUCUCUUGAGACAGUGAACCUCAAUGGUUGCUCAAAACUUUGUAGUUUGCCAGAGCAUUUGGGUAAAUUGGAAGCUUUGAGAAAGCUUAUUUUAAGUGGAUCUGCUAUUACAGAGUUGCCUACUUCGAUCGGACUUUUGAAGAACCUUGAAGAUCUAUCUUUGGCUGGACUUAGAAAAGAGUUACCUUCUAAGUCUUGGUUCUCAUACUUUUCCUCAUGGAUC